GUCCACACAGUAAACGAUGAAUACUCGCUGUUUGCGAUAUACAGUAAGCGGCCAAGCGAAAGCAUUAAGUAUUCCACCUGGGGAGUACGCCGGCAACGGUGAAACUCAAAGGAAUUGACGGGGGCCCGCACAAGCGGAGGAACAUGUGGUUUAAUUCGAUGAUACGCGAGGAACCUUACCCGGGCUUAAAUUGCAAAUGAAUAUGUAGGAAACUAUAUAGCCGCAAGGCAUUUGUGAAGGUGCUGCAUGGUUGUCGU
rnacentral:rRNA from 1 species